rnacentral:rRNA from 1 species
CAGCCGCCGCGGUAAUACGGAGGGUGCAAGCGUUAUCCGGAUUUAUUGGGUUUAAAGGGUCCGUAGGCGGAUCUGUAAGUCAGUGGUGAAAUCUCACAGCUUAACUGUGAAACUGCCAUUGAUACUGCAGGUCUUGAGUAAAUUUGAAGUGGCUGGAAUAAGUAGUGUAGCGGUGAAAUGCAUAGAUAUUACUUAGAACACCAAUUGCGAAGGCAGGUCACUAAGAUUUAACUGACGCUGAUGGACGAAAGCGUGGGGAGCGAACAGGAUUAGAGACCCCCGUAGUCCCUGUCUCUUAUAC